UACGAAGGGGGCUAGCGUUGCUCGGAAUCACUGGGCGUAAAGCGCACGUAGGCGGACUCUUAAGUCGGGGGUGAAAUCCUGGAGCUCAACUCCAGAACUGCCUUCGAUACUGGGAGCCUUGGAGUCCGGGAGAGGUGAGUGGAACUGCGAGUGUAGAGGUGAAAUUCGUAGAUAUUCGCAAGAACACCAGUGGCGAAGGCGGCUCACUGGCCCGGUACUGACGCUGAGGCACGAAAGCGUGGGGAGCAAACAGG
rnacentral:rRNA from 1 species